UUACGGCCAUAUCACGUUGAAACACCGGUUCCCGUACGAUCACCGAAGUUAAGCAACGUCGAACCUGGUCAGUGCCUAGAUAGAUUAUCACUUGGGAAUACCAGACGCUGUA